GCUGAGGCGAGCGGGGCGGCCAUUUUACGUCUCUGCGAGAGGCCGCGCGGGCGCUGCGGUCGGUGCUCACUCCUCCGACCUUCUAGUACCUCGGCAACGCCGCCGCCAUGGGCCGCAAGAAGAAGAAGCAGCUGAAACCUUGGUGCUGGUAUUGCAACCGGGAUUUUGAUGAUGAAAAAAUCCUUAUCCAGCAUCAAAAAGCAAAGCAUUUCAAGUGCCAUAUAUGUCAUAAAAAGCUGUAUACAGGACCUGGUUUAGCUAUACAUUGCAUGCAGGUGCAUAAAGAAACAAUAGAUGCUGUUCCAAAUGCUAUUCCUGGAAGAACAGAUAUUGAACUGGAAAUUUAUGGCAUGGAGGGCAUUCCAGAAAAAGAUAUGGAAGAAAGGAGGAGAUUACUUGAACAAAAAACUCAAGCAGAGAGUCAGAAAAAGAAACAACAAGAUGAUUCUGAUGAAUAUGAAGAUGAUGAGUCUUCAGCUUCAACUUCAUUUCAACCACAACCUGUACAGCCACAGCAGGGAUACAUACCUCCAAUGGCACAGCCAGGUUUGCCGCCUGUCCCAGGUGCACCAGGAAUGCCUCCAGGUAUACCACCAUUAAUGGCGGGUGUUCCUCCAAUGAUGCCUGGAAUGCCUCCAGUUAUACUAGGAAUGCCACCUGGGAUGAUGCCAAUGGGUGGAAUGAUGCCUCCUGGGCCAGGAAUACCACCUCUUAUGCCUGGUAUGCCACCAGGUAGGUCAGGGGUGUCGAACCCAUACUGUGGUAUGCCACCACCUGUUGGUCCUCGUAUGCCUCCCAUGACACAAGCACAGCCUGUGACAGCACCAGGAAUUCUUAAUAGACCUCCAGCUCCCACUGCAACAGCACCUACCCCUCAGCCUCCUGUUACUAAGCCACUGUUCCCCAGUGCAGGACAGAUGGGGACACCUGUCACAAGCUCAAGUACAGCUUCCUCCAAUUCAGAAAAUCUGUCAGCAUCUUCUAAAGCUCUGUUUCCUAGCACAGCACAAGCUCAAGCAGCUGUUCCAGGUCCAGUUGGUACUGAUUUCAAACCGUUGAAUACUACACCUGCAACAACCACAGAGCCCCCAAAACCAACAUUCCCUGCUUAUACGCAGUCUACAACCUCCACCACUAGCACAACAAACAGUACUGCGGCUAAACCAGCUACAUCUAUAACUAGUAAGCCUGCUACUCUUACAACAACCAGUGCAACCAGUAAGUUGAUCCAUCCAGAUGAGGAUAUAUCCCUGGAAGAAAGAAGGGCACAGUUGCCCAAAUAUCAGCGUAAUCUCCCUCGACCAGGUCAGGCAUCCAUGGGUAACCCACCGGUUGGACCAAUUGGGGGUAUGAUGCCACCACAGCCAGGAAUUCCUCCACAGCAGCAAGGAAUGAGACCUCCAAUGCCGCCUCAUGGUCAGUAUGGUGCUCAUCACCAAGGCAUGCCAGGAUACCUUCCUGGAGCGAUGCCUCCAUAUGGUCAGGGACCCCCGAUGGUGCCCCCUUACCAAAGUGGACCUCCUCGACCUCCAAUGGGAAUGAGACCGCCCGUAAUGUCGCAAGGUGGCCGCUAUUGAUGCUACUACACGCAGUCUAAUAGGUUUUUAGAAGUGAAGUAUAGUAAAUAUGGUUCGUUAAAUUGUGAAGGCGCUGGAAUUACAUGAACAUACCAUCUUAAAGCCCUGCCAUAGGACAGGCUGAGGCAGAGUCUCAGUGUUGCCCUGUUCAGUCUGAGGCAAGUGGGAUUUAUUUUAUUCAUUCUGGGGGCUUUCACAGCUUUAUGGCUGUUGGAUAUCCAUGUCCCCAAACUUGCAGCAAGUUUGGUGAAGGCCCCUAAAUUUAACUUAAUUUAGGAUUUUUGUAAUCUUUUGGUAGAUGGGCUCUAUAUUAAAAAUAAUAUUUUUGACUGUGGUGUCUUUUUAAAAGUUGGGGGGAGGAAAUAUGUUUUAAAAUGUUUGCUAUUUCUGAUACUGAUGGAAGUUUGUCUGUUAAAUGGCCGAUCAUUUAAAUCUUUAAGCUGCUGCCACUUUAUUCUGAAUUUUAUUUGUGCUGUUUAGGUUGGCUGCCUUCUAAAACUGGAACUGCAUGUAGCUUUUGAACUUGGGGUGUAAACCUGAUUUAGCUAUGGGAAAUUAUGCUAAAGUGUUGUUUAAAAUACAGAAGUUUCCAUUUUAAGUCUUUCCUGCUUCUAUUAAAGUUCUAACUUUUAAUAAAUAAUCCAUUACUGAGAACAUAAGUGGUAUUUGAACAACCGUAAUCAUUUAACACUGUUUCCCUAAAAGGGAGGAUAUUAUGGUGAUGGGGUGAUUUUUUGCAUUUGCAAGUUACACCACAAAUAUUAAUGUAGAGCCCUCUGGAGAAGAAAUGCAGGUUUGAGUUGGUAAAAUAGAAAAAAAAAAGGGGGGGGGGUAGAAUGAAAAAUUGAAGCAAUAAAUUCUGCAGAAGUGUCAGUUAGAUGAUGACAUUAAACUUUUUAAAUUUCUGCUGUAUAACAGUAUAUUCUAAAGUUUUGGCAUUCAGUGACAAUUUGGAGGGAUUUUGCAUUGUAACUUGAACAUGUUUAAUACCUAUUACUGGGAAAUCUUUUAACAGCAAUGUUGCUGGUAGGACUUUUUUUCUCUAUGAAAAUGAGGUUUGUAACUUUUUUGAAAUAUUUGCUAACAUUUUCAAAGUACCGUUUGAGUAAACCUCCUGCCCCCUCAAUUUUCUUUUGCAAAUAUUUGGUCUAGACAACAGAGGUUUAUGCAGACAUCCUCAGUCUCAGAAGAACAUGCUUUGUGCCUUUUGUGGGCUUGAUGUUGGGAACUGUUUUUUUCACAAUUUGUAACUUGAAAGUCAUUUGUUUUCCUAAUUUAAUUUAAUUUGACACUUUCUCAAACUUCUCAUCUGAAGUACUUUUGGUGAGCCAUAAAUAGUUUUUUAUUUCUCAAAUGAUUUUCCUUUUUAUAGCUGACCAUAAACUUAUACCUUGCAGCAAGUGAGUGUUGCUCACUCUCUUUUUACUACAUGGGUGAAAAUUGCCUUGAAGAAUGUGACUUGGUCCUUCUGCCAUGUUCCCUUCCAGCUUUAACAACCUGCCCCCUCUAACUCACCACCUGACCCCAGUCUGGGUUUCUGAUCCUUCUGAUCUACUCCUGUUUUAAUGAUGAAAGUUGACAUCUGCUCUGAUUUAUUAAUUCCCCCCUCAUGAAUGAGCAGUGUAUAGUACCUUCCUAAUUCUUUUGCAUUGUUACCAUGGGUACCAGUGAAGAUACUGUACUACAGAAAUUCGUAUUUCGGACAAGCUGGGUUAGUUCUAUUCUGCCUCCAUAUGUGCAUAUAGCAAGUUUGUAAACCUCCUUUUUCCAAAAGAGAUCUGAAUAAAGGUUGUAUGUAUUGCUUCAUCUUUAAAGACGCAAUGAAUGAAAAAAUAAACAAGCAUUGGGUGUUUCAUAUUAAAAACCACUGACUGUCACCUAUUACCAUUUAAUAGACUGGUACAGUUCUGUAAAUAGUUCUUUCAUUCAGAGGUUGUUGUUGUUAUUAUCAUUAUUAUUUUGGUUAAGUCUUCAUGUAUAUUUUGAACUAGAUGUGUAUAAAAGUAGAGUUUGGCUACUGUUUACCCUCUACUUUUUCCAGAGAAUAUGUUCUCAAAAUGGGUAUCCUGACUUGAGCCAUGCUUGAGUUAUGUUCAGUAAAUCCACUUUGUGGCAGUUGAUUUGAAUAGAACGUUAAAAAAUUUUCCAGCUGUUUUAAUCUGUGAUUUUGAUCCGUGGGAAAUGACUUGCACUUCAUAUUUCUCUUGUACUAUUCUCUAUUUCUAGUACCCAUUCAUGGCUCUCUGCUUCCCCAGAUCAAUCUAGGGAUAUUUUUUUUUCCUUCCAAGGUAUUCUUUGAGAACAUGACUCCUGGAAUUCAGUUAAAAAAAAAAAAUGAAACAAAGCUUGAAAUACAGAAGAAAACUAUAAUCAUGUCAACAUAAUUAUGUGGGCUGUUGUGGUGUUAAUUUGAGUCUUCCUCACUAUAAUUUAUAAUGGAUACGCCUGAAAUGGUACCUGAAAUCUUUGUUGGUUCAAAUGUAGCCUUCCUUUUCCAUUGCCAGUAGGGGUGUUUUCCCUUUCUCUGGGCCCUUAAAAAAACCAAAAAACCCCAAACUGGCUUUUUAAAAUUGUUAUAAAAUGUUUCCCGUUUUGAGAUUUCCAUCCAUUUUGGUAGCUUCAUCAUGUACAUCAGAACUUAUUCUAAUCCAGUGCCAGAACUGAUGUCCAUGUAUUAAUUUGAAAGCUCUCCCUGGUGUUCUGUGGCCUAAAAAAUCAGUGGAGGUUUUGCUGCCUUCCUCAGUGAUGGCACACUGAUUUAUGUUUUUAAUGGAAUUUCUCAACUCUCGGCUCUGCUGACUGAUCUUCAGUGUUUCAAAAAGAUCUCUAAAACUCAAAUCUAGUAUAGAAAACUUUUUUUUAUCUUGCUCCUAGUGUGAAGCUUUUCAGUGUACCUCUUGUGUGUGGAUCUAAGGAGGAUACUUCCAGAAAAAUUUCAACUGUAAACACAUUUCCCUACUUCAAAGUAUAACAGUAUGUGUGUGUUUUACUAAUACUGUACAGUGUGCCCUUACUAAAGCAGCAAUCCAUGUAGCACAAAGUUGCGGGGGUUUUUUAAAGUUACUAAUUUUCUUAGAUUUACUGAAGACUAUGGCAACCCAUGAAUAAGUUCUGCUGAAAUGUUUAACUGCUAGAUCAGAUGAAUUUACACACUACUCUUCACAUACAAAGUAAAUGAAAGGCAUGGUAAAUUAAAUACAGCACAUACUAUCCAUUAAGUUCUUGGCUGCCUUAGAAUGUUGUUUAUAACUAGUUGCACAGAAUAUUUGCAUAUAGCAAAUAUCAAAUGCUGUCCGAGAAACAAUGAAAAUACUUAAUACCAGUUGCCUGCCUCAGAUGAGCUUACUUGAGGUUUUUAUGUAUAAUGACUAGGAUCGUUCUGUAGCCGUCUGGAAAAAUGCAGUUAAGUGGGUAAAAGGCCUCUUUCACAUAAAUAGGCCUUUUAUGGAUAGGGUGACUAUACCUCCCGGUUUGGCCAGGACACUCCCGGAUUCCAUACCCCUGUCCCAGCCAGUUGAUCAAAAGUCCUGGGCUGGAGUGCAGCAGGGAGGGGGAGCAGCAUAGUGCACUAGGCAGGCACCGCUGCUCCUGUGCAGGAGCAAAGACUUGUCUGGUGUAGACAGGGUGCGCCUGCUCCAGUCUGCUCACCUUGCUCUUGCACAGGAGCAACAACAGUGCCUGCCUGGUGCAUCAUGCUGGUCCACCUCCCUGCCAGACUCUGGCCUGGGACUUCUGACCAACCAGUUGGGAUGGGGCUAUGGAAUCCUGGAGUGUCCCAGCCAAACCAGGACCUAUGGUCACCUAGUUAUGGACCAUCUCUACUUACAGUAAAACUGGUGCAGAUAUCAAUACUAAUUGGGAGUGAGGAAAAUAUUGAGAGAUUGCUGUUAUAGGGGACAAGGCAGAAAGAGAGUGCUUGAAUAUGUUGUAUUAAUUAUAUGAAGAUAGACUUUUGAUGGAGUUGUGGGAGAGUCAGUUCAUUAUCUGAAUAUUUUUGUGAAAUGCGCUACACAAAUGACAGCUUUCUGCUCUAGUUACCCAAUUGCAGUAGAGAGUAAGAAUUAUUAAUAGCUAGAACAGUGAUACUAGCAUCCUGUUUCUGCUAGCAUGACUUUUAGCAACAAAGCUGCCUUUUAACUGCAGUCCCAGUGACAUUGGAAUCAUUAGCGCACCUCUGUAAGAAAGCCCAUCUUUAAUGGGCUUCUUGCUAUGGUAGGGCACAUCCUAUAAUCCCUGUAUUUAGUUCCAGUUUCUAGGAUGUCCUUUUCAAACAUCUUUGUCCUUUAACCAGUAUAGACUUGCAGAUUCCAAUACAACUGACAGUUCACAAUACUGUAUUGUAUCACUCAGCUCCCUGCCAUCUACUUUUAAUAGGCAUUGAAGUAUUUAGAAUAGGGAGUUUUUUACCAGUCCUUGUUUGGCCAGAUGGUGAUGAGAGAGAGCAUGGCUAUUCAAGUAGCUGGCCAUAGACUGCAUGUGCCCUUUAAGGGUUAAGUUGCAACCCAUGGACUAUUGCCCAGUCAUUGCUCCCCCACCACUCGCUGCAGUAGCUGGAGUCUCCAGAAUCCCCCUCCUAGCUUCUACUUCCUGUCCCCACCCCAGGAGGCUGUGUGGCUGGGGCUACCUGGGCGCAUGGUACAGCCUACAGGGCAUUCAGCCCCCUGCCACUUAAAAGUUGGAGAGCCAUGAGGUAAAGCAUGAGUGUAAUGGAGAAGAAGUUGAAUUGGAUUGCUUCUGUGACUUUGAGAUUUCAAGUUCCCUGGAAAAUACUCUUAAGUCAGUUAGCUUAAGCUUAAAAUCAUGUUCCUAAACUACCAAGCACCUAACUCAACUAUAUCUAGUAGCAUGUUAAUUUGAAGGCUACAGUAAUUUGCCAUUUAUCUGAAAGUUUGCAUACCAGCCUUUUGGUUACUUCUUCACUUGCCCAGACAGAAAUAAUCCAUUUUAAGCACACUGUUUUACAGUAACUGAACUUCAGUUGUCAGGGUUUGUCUUAUCUAGGAUUUAAAAACAAAUAGAUGAUGUCAACGGCACAAUUUUUAUGGGAUCAUUUUAAUAUAAUAUCAAUAAAACCAUUUUAUGGGGCCAUAAAAUACAUUUUUUUUUUCUUGUCUCUUCAACAGAAGGGAGGAAGGGGGGGGUAUUUUAAAAGGAGGGAAUACAGGGUUUGCUAGAGUCAGUUUGAAGUACAUCAAGUCCAAGCAUAUCUGCCCAGGCAGGAAUUCCUCCCUUUUUUUUUUGGCUAAAUUGAGUAACUUCUAACCAUAUUUUAAUGGUCAUAUUAUGGUCCCCUACCAUAGCUAACUGAUAUGUAUUAACCAGUCCUAACUAACUUCUUGGUUUUUGGAUGUUGGAAUUUUUGCCAUACUUAAGAGCAACCUAUGUUCACUCAAAGGAAUAUAUUCACUUCUUUAUGACUUGCAACAUCCUACAACAUUUCAAGGGUUAAAGGCAGUUUCGCUUUUGUUGCCUCAUUGAAGCACAUGUACUUUUUGAGUGCUGAAUUCUGAAACUCCCCUUAAAUUCUGGUGGAGGCAAAUGUAGUCUGCAUUUUUUUUAGAUUAAAUGUAUAACUUGCAUAACUAAAUUAUACAGAUUCUCCACCUACUCCACAAAGUGCUCUUUAAGAGGGUUACUCUUGCAUCAUGCAUUACUUAAUUCAUGAGAAUUUCCCCUAAUAGAUGUCUGGGAUGUAGGGUAGAAAAACAUACAAAAUUUAAGACAAAAUCUAAGUAAUAUUAGCUGCCUUUAGUUGAAGCUUACAAUUUUUAAGGGGCAGAUUGCAACAAUUGAGGCUUGAUAAUUUUUUUUAAUGAAAAACUUUUUAAAUUAUGGAUUAAACUCCUUGGUUUAAUAAAAUUUGUGUUUUUGUUGACUAGCAGCAGAAUUUCAGCAUUUGGUUCUUACUGGUAGAGAAGAAAAAUCCUACAGCACUGCCAGUACAGGUUAGUUUAAUCUGUAAGUACCUGAUGUUCCUAUUUGAAAUACUUUGUUCAAAUAAUACUCUCUGAAUACAUGAAGAAAGAUUUUUUUUUUUUUUUAAUUUAUUUGAAUGUGAUGCAUCAGUCUGUCAUGUAGGGUGUAUCUACUGCUGUCUUCAGUAGUGAACAAACUUGUAGAACUCGGCUUCUGUUUUGUGGAUUUUUUUUUAAUCAUGUGCAAUGAUUCAGACCAACGGUUAAGGGUCACAACUUCCUGUAAGAAUCUAUUUAAGGGAAAUAAUAAAUUACAGCUUGCUAAACAGCCAUUUAUCAGCCUUGAAAAAGGUAAUGGAUGCUUAAGUUUGGAAUCAGGGUCAGUUCUUAAGUAACUUGCUUAUUUCAAAAAGGGAGGCCGUUUUAUCGCUAAUAGGAUUUAACGGUCUCUCUCUCAUUUUUAGAAAAUGGGUAUUCCGGCUGAUAACAAAAUAGCAGCAGUAAUUUAACCUUGCCUUAAAUCUUUUUAUGGAUAACAACUUUUUGAGAAACUUUUAUAUGCACCUUCUAGACUUAGUGCUUUAUUGCAUCUUUAAUGCAGUCAGCCCUAUAGACUGCAUGUGCCUUGAACUUGCUGUUUUCCGAAAUCCAUCUUAGCCCUUUUCAGCACAUUAGAGGUCCUACAAAUGGUUCCCCAUGAAGAUUAAUUUAGGCCAGUCCAAAAUUAUUGCCUAUCCUUUCUUCUCUUUCCCCUUCAGUUUUUGUACCAUGUUUUAUUUGUUUACAUUUUUAAACAGGUAGUACUUUGGAUUUUUAGUUUAUUGUAUGGUGUCCUGAGCAUCUUCAGGAAGUAAAAUUUGGAUCUGUACGCACAUGAAUUAAAAAUAAGUAAAAAUCUAGCUCAGGUAUUCAAGUGUCUAAAUAUUAACUGAAUCACCUACAUGAAAUAAAUAUUGUUUAAUCUUUACAGAACAGGUCUGCAAGUCAAGAAGUGAGCCUUACUUCCUGUUAUGAAUUAUGCACUAUACUAAUAUACAACCUGUUAACCUUUCUAUGCUGUCUGAGAGGGCAUAAAGCUUAGAAACAAGAAAUGGGCCUUUCAGAUCUUUGGAUGGAAAGUGAGAUAAAAGCACAAAAUAAAAAUGCUAAGGACACCAAUAGACAGUAUGGCAAUUGGAGAGAAAUAACUCAUUUAAAUACGCACAGCAAGCUAAUGGUCAGUGAUGGUUGCAGUAACUGUAACUCCAUAUUUGAAUUGUUCAUCUUUCAAAAAUGCAUUUUCAAUCGUGUUAAUUAUUUGUAUGGAUAAAAGACUACUGAGGGGGGGAAAUGUCGUAGUGUUAGUGCACAUUCCCCUUGCCUUUUUUUUUUUUUUUUGUCAAGUCUUCAGCCAUUUAAUAUGCAAGUGUUUAUAUGCCUGCAAGAAGCAUACUACUUAAAGGGAGAGGCCUGUUCAGGCCUCUGCUCUGGGAACCUGAUGGUUCAGGCACCUUUUUUACUUAUGUUUCCAAACUAACUUUUUUGGCUGUAACUCCUUUGUGAGUAGUGGUCAUGUGCACGUAGAAUUCUUGUGAAAAUGGAGUGACUGUUCUCUUGGCUAUAAAGCCCAUGAACCUUCUCUUUGUUAAUAGCUGCAACCCAUACCCCCACCCACACACACGCUUUGUCAACCACUCUGGCACCAAGUCUGUUUCUGAGAUUUGUUAAAUCACUUGUUUGUGCCUGCAGUACUGCUGUGUGAGGUUAGCCUCCAGCAGUUGCGCAAAAAAAAAAAAAAGCAUGGAUUUCUGCUUUGAGCUAAGGUUCCCCUUUUGCCAUGUCUACCCUGUAGUACCUUGUGCUUAAAAUAAAGAGCAGUGCUUCAGGGUUGUCUCAUCAUGUCACUUAAUAGCAUACCUAGAAUAUUGUUUUACUAACAGCUUAAAUGCAUUUUCCUUUGACACAGUAAAUUUGGAUUUUCUAAAAGGAUGUUGGCAGUCUUUGGACCUGGCAUUACCAUACAAGCAAUCUUAAGUUGCAGUCCUGCCUUUGGUCUGUUAUAACUUUCCCGUGUAGCACAGUUGGAUAGCUCUUCCCAACUCUAAUAUGAUAAUGGUGAUCACUAGGAGUCUACAGUGAGCUCAGCAUUCAUCAAUGAGGUAUGGUAGUUUAUAUACUGAUAUAUUAAAACAAAAGUCAGCCAACUUUUGUGCACUAGUGGUGUAAAAGGGAACAAGCAAUUUUUUAUAGAGCUUUAAAAGAUGGCUGAUCUUAUAAGCACAUAUGCAAAACUUGCUGUAACAAGCAAUGAU